CGUGGUGGCCAGUAGAAUCAGGGAUUUCAACUAAAAUCCAUGACUCAUUCGGAUUAACCUCAAUAGGUUAAUCUAGGAUCGAGUCACGGUUUCUAGGGUUGCUAUAAAAAACAUAGAUUCACUCUGGAUCAAAAAUUUCGGAGUCGUGUGAUUCUCACAGUGAAGGUCGAUCGAGGUUUUCCCUGAAACAGAGUGACGGAGAUGCUCGUAUCUGAGAAGAUUGCCUAAAACCGAGUUGAUUGAAGGUUGUAAACUUCAUAUCUAGGGUUUACCCUCUUUCCAAAUCAGACGAUCGAAUCCGAGGUUUGAAUCUGCAAAAUCGAAGCUUGAUUUAAGGUUGAAAACAAAGGUUGUGGAAUGUUCGAAUGGAUAUCAAAUUCAAGCCCAAAUUGUCAUACUUACCAGACUCCACCUAGGUCACUAUGCUCCGAAACCUCAACUUCAUCAUCUCCUUCCCCUUCAUCAGACUAUAUCAAAGGAUACUUGAACGGUGCAAUAAAAGAAUCAGAGGGUUAUACGAGGAUAUUGAGAGAUGUUCUUGACACACUCAAGAAGCUUGAUUUAAACAAAAAUGUAGGAUGAACUUUUUUGGAAUUUUUUGGAAAACAAAAAGGCCGAAGCCAUUGUAAUGAUAAACGUUUCAUUAUCCUUUUUUUU